GGUGAACGCUGGCGGCGUGCUUAAGACAUGCAAGUCGAGCGCGGUCUUCGGACCGAGUGGCGCACGGGUGAGUAACACGUAACUGACCUACCCAGAAGUCAUGAAUAACUGGCCGAAAGGUCAGCUAAUACGUGAUGUGGUGAUUUGCCGUGGCAAAUCACUAAAGAUCUAUCGCUUCUGGAUGGGGUUGCGUUCCAUCAGCUGGUUGGUGGGGGAAAGGCCUACCAAGGCGACGACGGAUAGCCGGCCUGGGAGGGUGGCCGGCCACAGGGGCACUGAGACACGGGUCCCACUCCUACGGGAGGCAGCAGUUAGGAAUCUUCCACAAUGGGCGCAAGCCUGAUGGAGCGACGCCGCGUGAGGGAUGAAGGUUUUCGGAUCGUAAACCUCUGAAUCUGGGACGAAAGAGCCUUCGGGCAGAUGACGGUACCAGAGUAAUAGCACCGGCUAACUCCGUGCCAGCCGCCGCCGUAAUAC
rnacentral:rRNA from 1 species